rnacentral:misc_RNA from 1 species
GAUGAAGAACGUAGCGAAAUGCGAUAAGUAAUGUGAAUUGCAGAAUUCAGUGAAUCAUCGAAUCUUUGAACGCACAUUGCGCCCGCCAGUAUUCUGGCGGGCAUGCCUGUCUGAGCGUCAUUUCAACCCUCAUGCCCCUAGGGCGUGGUGUUGGGGAUCGGCCAAAGCCCGCGAGGGACGGCCGGCCCCUAAAUCUAGUGGCGGACCCGUCGUGGCCUCCUCUGCGAAGUAGUGAUAUUCCGCAUCGGAGAGCGACGAGCUCCUGCCGUUAAACCCCCAACUUUCCAAGGUUGACCUCAGAUCAGGUAGGAAUACCCGCUGAACUUAAGCAUAUCAAUAAGCGGAGGA